GCAAACACGAAAGUGGACGUAUACGGUGUGACGCCUGCCCGGUGCUGGAAGGUUAAUUGAUGGGGUCAGCCGCAAGGCGAAGCUCCUGAUCGAAGCCCCAGUAAACGGCGGCCGUAACUAUAACGGUCCUAAGGUAGCGAAAUUCCUUGUCGGGUAAGUUCCGACCUGCACGAAUGGCGUAAUGAUGGCCAGGCUGUCUCCACCCGAGACUCAGUGAAAUUGAACUCGCUGUGAAGAUGCAGUGUACCCGCGGCAAGACGGAAAGACCCCGUGAACCUUUACUAUAGCUUGACACUGAACAUUGAGCCUUGAUGUGUAGGAUAGGUGGGAGGCUUUGAAGUGUGGACGCCAGUCUGCAUGGAGCCAACCUUGAAAUACCACCCUUUAACGUUUGAUGUUCUAACCUAGGCCCAUAAACUGGGUCGGGGACCGUGUCUGGUGGGUAGUUUGACUGGGGCGGUCUCCUCCUAAAGAGUAACGGAGGAGCACGAAGGUUGGCUAAGCAUGGUCGGACAUCAUGCGGUUAGUGCAAAGGCAUAAGCCAGCUUGACUGCGAGAGUGACGGCUCGAGCAGGUACGAAAGUAGGUCUUAGUGAUCCGGUGGUUCUGAAUGGAAGGGCCAUCGCUCAACGGAUAAAAGGUACUCCGGGGAUAACAGGCUGAUACCGCCCAAGAGUUCAUAUCGACGGCGGUGUUUGGCACCUCGAUGUCGGCUCAUCACAUCCUGGGGCUGAAGUAGGUCCCAAGGGUAUGGCUGUUCGCCAUUUAAAGUGGUACGCGAGCUGGGUUUAGAACGUCGUGAGACAGUUCGGUCCCUAUCUGCCGUGGGCGUUGGAAGAUUGAGAGGGGUUGCUCCUAGUACGAGAGGACCGGAGUGAACGCACCACUGGUGUUCGGGUUGUCAUGCCAAUGGCAUUGCCCGGUAGCUAAGUGCGGAAGAGAUAACCGCUGAAAGCAUCUAAGCGGGAAACUUGCC
rnacentral:rRNA from 1 species